AAAUCGUGUUGUGGGCAUGAACCGAUAAGAUCCUUAAACCGCUCCCAACAUUGAAAGAAUCUUUCAUCCUCCUUUUGGGCAAAGUUCAUGAUUCACUUUCUAAGGGU